rnacentral:tRNA from 2 species
UGGAGAGGUGGCAGAGAUGGUCGAUUGCGACGGACUCGAAAUUCGUUAGGGGUGCAAGCUUCUCGUGGGUUCGAAUCCCACCCUCUCCGA